rnacentral:misc_RNA from 1 species
GUCGUGAUUUGGAAGGGGUUCAAGCUUCAAGGUCCUGGAAAUUUAAGUAUGUAUGACGAUUUGAGUGAGGACCAGAAGAUGGUACUUGUGGCAAGUGUUCAAUCAUGAUUCUUAAAUGGUUAUUAGGACUCAUACAGUUAUAUACAUAGAGCUGGUAUCCUGCAAGAACGUUGGAAUGACUUAAAAAAUGUCUAGCAAGGUGUAUCAUACAGUAUACUAAGUUAGCUAAGCUAUUAAGUGUUGCAAUGAAGUUGGGCAAGACCAAUUUUUUGGUGAUCAAGAUCGGGGGAGGAAUCAAUUUGUGUACAUUUAAAUAUUGCGAAAACUAGGCAGCGAAUUUGUUCCUUGGUCUGUUAUUUUCUCCAGCCAAUUUGGUUGUAGUUUGCCCAAUUUCAUGUUGUAAUAUAUGAAUCAGUGUCAAGUGGACACCAUUUUUAGAG